rnacentral:rRNA from 1 species
CAGGGGAUAGCGCAGGGAUGGACCUAUGGCGCAUUAGCUAGUUGGCGGGGCAACGGCCCACCAAGGCAACGAUGCGUAGCCGGCCUGAGAGGGCGGACGGCCACAUUGGGACUGAGACACGGCCCAGACUCCUACGGGAGGCAGCAGUAGGGAAUUUUCGGCAAUGGGGGAAACCCUGACCGAGCAACGCCGCGUGAGCGAAGAAGGCCUUCGGGUCGUAAAGCUCUGUUGUAAAGGAAGAACGUCGCAUGCAGGAAAUGGUGUGCGAGUGACGGUACUUUACCAGAAAGCCACGGCUAACUACGUGCCAGCAGCCGCGGUAAUACGUAGGUGGCGAGCGUUAUCCGGAAUCAUUGGGCGUAAAGAGGGAGCAGGCGGCCGCAAGGGUCUGUGGUGAAAGACCGAAGCUAAACUUCGGUAAGCCAUGGAAACCGGGCGGCUAGAGUGCGGAAGAGGAUCGUGGAAUUCCAUGUGUAGCGGUGAAAUGCGUAGAUAUAUGGAGGAACACCAGUGGCGAAGGCGACGGUCUGGGCCGCAACUGACGCUCAUUCCCGAAAGCGUGGGGAGCAAAUAGGAUUAGAUACCCUAGUAGUCCACGCCGUAAACGAUGGUCACUAAGUGUCGGGGGUCAAACCCCG